rnacentral:tRNA from 1 species
GGGGUUGUGGCUCAGUGGCAGAGCACUCGCCUAGCAUGUGUGAGGCACUGGGUUUGAUUCUCAGCACCACA